rnacentral:rRNA from 1 species
UACGAUGAGUAGCCGGCCUGAGAGGGUAAUCGGCCACACUGGGACUGGAACACGGCCCAGACUCCUACGGGAGGCAGCAGUGGGGAAUAUUGCGCAAUGGGCGAAAGCCUGACGCAGCGACGCCGCGUGAGGGAUGAAGGCCUUCGGGUCGUAAACCUCUGUCAGGAGGGAAGAAGUGUACGGGUGCUAAUCAGCCCGUAUUUGACGGUACCUCCAAAGGAAGCACCGGCUAACUCCGUGCCAGCAGCCGCGGUAAUACGUAGGUGGCAAGCGUUAUCCGGAAUUAUUGGGCGUAAAGCGCGCGUAGGCGGCUUUUUAAGUCAGAGGUGAAAUCCCACGGCUCAACCGUGGAACUGCCUUUGAUACUGGAAGGCUUGAGUUUGUGAGAGGAUAGUGGAAUUCCAGGUGUAGGAGUGAAAUCCGUAGAGAUCUGGAGGAACAUCAGUGGCGAAGGCGACUAUCUGGCACAACACUGACGCUGAGGUGCGAAAGCGUGGGUAUCAAACAGGAUUAGAUACCCUGGUAGUCCACGCUGUAAACGAUGGAUACUAGGUGCUGGGAGCUCGACUCUCGGUGCCGUAGCUAACGCGUUAAGUAUCCCGCCUGGGGAGUACGGUCGCAAGGCUGAAACUCAAAGAAAUUGACGGGGGCCCGCACAAGCGGUGGAGUAUGUGGUUUAAUUCGAUGCAACGCG